rnacentral:misc_RNA from 1 species
AGCAUUCGUCUUCUGGUUACGGGGCCAUAGCUCAGCUGGGAGAGCGCGUGCUUUGCAAGCAUGAGGUCGUCGGUUCGAUCCCGUCUGGCUCCACCAGAUGGUUUGAUCGAUCGACUGAUCGUGCACCAAAAUCGUCCGCGAAACAUCACUUCGCACUUGUUAGUCCGGAUGGACAGCAAGCUGCGUGAUUUCUGACAUCGUAAAGAGGAGAUCGAUCCGAGUUGGAUCGUGCGGCAAGCAAUUGCCACGCGAGACUUCAUUAUCUCCGGAUCAUUUCGGCGCUCGUGCGCCUUUCAGUGUAGCUCACAAGGCUGCAUCUGGGAGAUGCGUGAGUUGUAAAUGAUCCUUUUAGCGAAGCUUGACCGCCUCGCUAUCGGAACGAUCUUACGAAGCAAGCUGGUCUUUCUAAUCAUUGUCCGGCUGCAGAUAGCGUUCAUCGAGGGCGCGUGCCGCAAGGUAAUUCUGCAGACAACAUUCUGCCGAGUGUGUGGACAUUGAUAAUGAGAGCAAUCAAGUGCCUUAAGGGUGUUCGGUGGAUGCCUUGGCGCUGAGAGGCGAUGAAGGACGUGCUACGCUGCGAUAAGCCGU